UACCGCAUACGUCCUACGGGAGAAAGCAGGGGACCUUCGGGCCUUGCGCUAUCAGAUGAGCCUAGGUCGGAUUAGCUAGUUGGUGAGGUAAUGGCUCACCAAGGCGACGAUCCGUAACUGGUCUGAGAGGAUGAUCAGUCACACUGGAACUGAGACACGGUCCAGACUCCUACGGGAGGCAGCAGUGGGGAAUAUUGGACAAUGGGCGAAAGCCUGAUCCAGCCAUGCCGCGUGUGUGAAGAAGGUCUUCGGAUUGUAAAGCACUUUAAGUUGGGAGGAAGGG
rnacentral:rRNA from 1 species